CUGAGUUUCGGCAGAAGGCCCGGUCCGGCUCCCACUUCUGAGCUGCUGCUGCCGAGUCGUGGCUGCCGCCUCCAGCUUCUGGGUCUUGGGACUCCUCGCUCAGGAACCGAAGACACGUGGGCUCUGGGCCACAGGGCGGAAAACGUGAGGGGGCAGGAGCGGCAUCCCCUGAAGUCCCCCUUAGGGCAGCACUCAGCAGAGGGGUUCUCGCACCCCCAAGCCCUUCACAAACUCGCGCACAAAAGAGGCCGAAUUUCCAUAGGCUUCUAGAAGGCAGUGGCGGCGGCUGGACCUUCUGGACCUUGCUAGGGUCCUUGGGUGCCCGCCGCCCCAAAGCCCAGCCGCUGGCGCAUGGGAUGCCAUCACCUGCCCCAGCUGCAGGGCUGGAAACUAAAGCGCGGGCCCAGGAAAUCCCCACCCCCACGCCGACCUGCAAUCGAAUUAGACCCUCCUCCCUUCGGGCUGGCGGAGGAGGGGUGGAGAAGGAGAAGAGGAGCGCCCAAGGCGGGGUGGCCGUCCUAGGAGCUUCGUGGGGCCCUGAGGGGUGCGAGGUUGAGAGAGUUAACUGUGAAGCACACCUGUGGCUCCCCUUGUGUAACAUCGCACAUCCCCAGUCGUUGCAUAGUUGGAGGAGGUAUGUGAGGUUGAACACAGACGUGCACAAUGUGCGUCAGGGUAUGUGAGUUUGUACUCACCCCUCACCUGCACUUACCUCUGUUCUCCCCCAUCCAUGGAACACACCAUCUUACCAUCCUUGGAAAAUCCAAACUGUCUCAGCUGUGGCCCACGCUCAAUCUAUUCAUAUCAGACUCGCCAGGAUAAGGAAUCCAGACAUGGGUGCUGGUGAGCAGUGCAGGGGCCUCCCUGAGCUGACGUUGACAACCAAUUUGAGCCAAGCGGGAAAAGCGGAGGCAGCUCCAGUUAGCAGCGCCUGGCCGUGGGGCACCAAACUCCAAGCUAAUUAGGGAGCAUCUAGGAGCGUGAGGAGUUGCUUAAGAGCAGGACUCUGGGGGCUGUAUGGGAGUGAGAAGUGUCUGAAGGUGGGUGCGAGGGGAGCAGGAGGAGCAGAGCAGGAGGGAGGCAGUUCCUCCUGCAUCCGGCCUGAGGGACCCUCAGGGCAGCUCCAGGGCCACAGCUCCCCACCCUCUCCCCAAAGCAUAGUUGCUGAUUCCCAGCUGCUCCAGCUCUGCACAGCCAGGACCGAGGUUCCUGCUUAGUUGUCUCAUACACCUGGAACCUACCUUUCCCACCUGCAAGUCACUCAUACCACAAACAGGAUGUCCAUCUGAGUCCUGGGCCCAGGGCAUACCUCACACCUGCCACUGCACAGUGUCACAGGCCAGCGUCCACACAGUCCCUAAGCACAGAUCCACACAAAGCCGUUAUUAUAGUUAACAGGUUGAGCCAGAUUCUCUGUGCCACUGGCGGCACAGCACGGGGGCCUCUAGGACCCCAGCCUUGCAUGGGUUUCUGGGUCUCUGCAAGCCACCACCCACUUAGCCACUGAGCUGGGCUGCGCCAGGUCUGAGACUGUCACAAGGCUCACUCACCGCAGAAUUUGGUCCGUGCAGCUGGCUCUCUCAAACCGUGGAAGGAAGUGGGCCUUUCUGCCCAGGCAGACCCACCAUUUUGUGGCAAGCACCAGGGCAGGCCAGGAGUUGUGAGCUCUCUGCUGCGGGUAGUUGGCACUGAAUGUGACCCUAGCAGCCCCCUCCCCUCCAGUGUCUGUCCCACUCAGGGAGAGCCUGCAGGUCCUAGCCCACUGAUGUCCCUCAAGCUCAGGUACCAGCAGCCACCUGGCAGCCCCAGCUCACACCAAACCCAGGAGCUGCAAGGAGCAAGGUACUGGGCUCAGCAAAGAGCAAGCAGC